rnacentral:misc_RNA from 1 species
UAAGGAAUCAAUUAUGUUAGUUACUCACACGGCCUGAUGUUUCUCUCAGCAGGCCAAGUGUGAAAAUGAAACUAGUUAACAUCAGGAACAACAAAUUACAAUCUCAAGGAGAGUGUACAAGUACACACGAUGAGGAGUCAAUAGAAGGUGCAAUUAUGCUUGGAGAUGCGUUGUUACCUUCAGCAUGUUCUUUCAUUGUUGAGGAGUUG